UAGGGAAUAUUGGACAAUGGGCGCAAGCCUGAUCCAGCCAUGCCGCGUGAGUGAAGAAGGCCCUCGGGUUGUAAAGCUCUUUUGUCCGGAAAGAAAAGCAUCGGGCUAAUACCCUGGUGUUCUGACGGUACCGGAAGAAUAAGCACCGGCUAACUUCGUGCCAGCAGCCGCGGUAAUACGAAGGGUGCAAGCGUUACUCGGAAUUACUGGGCGUAAAGCGUGCGUAGGUGGUUUGUUAAGUCUGAUGUGAAAGCCCUGGGCUCAACCUGGGAAUGGCAUUGGAAACUGGCGGACUCGAGUGCGGUAGAGGGGUGUGGAAUUCCCGGUGUAGCAGUGAAAUGCGUAGAGAUCGGGAGGAACACCAGUGGCGAAGGCGACACCCUGGACCAGCACUGACACUGAGGCACGAAAGCGUGGGGAGCAAACAGGAUUAGAUACCCUGGUAGUCCACGCCCUAAAACGAUGCGAACUGGAUGUUGGGUGCAACUUGGCACUCAGUAUCGAAGCUAACGCGUUAAGUUCGCCGCCUGGGGAGUACGGUCGCAAGACUGAAACUCAAAUGAAUUGACGGGGUCAUAGCUGUUUCCU
rnacentral:rRNA from 1 species